rnacentral:rRNA from 1 species
GGCCUUGCGCUCUUUGAGCGGCCGGUGUCAGAUUAGCUAGUUGGUGAGGUAAAGGCUUACCAAGGCGACGAUCUGUAGCGGGUCUGAGAGGAUGAUCCGCCACACUGGAACUGAGACACGGUCCAGACUCCUACGGGAGGCAGCAGUGGGGAAUUUUGACAAUGGGGGCAACCCUGAUCCAGCCAUGCCGCGUGAGUGAAGAAGGCCUUCGGGUUGUAAAGCCCUUUCGGCCGGGAAGAAAUCGCAUGGGCCAAUACCCUGUGUGGAUGACGGUACCGGAAUAAGAAGCACCGGCUAACUACGUGCCAGCAGCCGCGGUAAUACGUAGGGUGCGAGCGUUAAUCGGAAUUACUGGGCGUAAAGCGUGCGCAGGCGGUUUUGUAAGACAGGCGUGAAAUCCCCGGGCUUAACCUGGGAACUGCGUUUGUGACUGCAAGGCUAGAGUACGGCAGAGGGGGGUGGAAUUCCACGUGUAGCAGUGAAAUGCGUAGAGAUGUGGAGGAACACCAAUGGCGAAGGCAGCCCCCUGGGUCGAUACUGACGCUCAUGCACGAAAGCGUGGGUAGCAAACAGGAUUAGAUACCCUGGUAGUCCACGCCCUAAACUAUGUCAACUAGGUGUUGGGUGGGUAAAACCAUUUAGUACCGUAGCUAACGCGUGAAGUUGACCGCCUGGGGAGUACGGCCGCAAGGUUAAAACUCAAAGGAAUUGACGGGGACCCGCACAAGCGGUGGAUGAUGUGGAUUAAUUCGAUGCAACGCGAAAAACCUUACCUACCCUUGACAUGCCAGGAACUUGCCAGAGAUGGCUUGGUGCCCGAAAGGGAGCCUGGACACAGGUGCUGCAUGGCUGUCGUCAGCUCGUGUCGUGAGAUGUUGGGUUAAGUCCCGCAACGAGCGCAACCCUUGUCGUUAAUUGCCAUCAUUUAGUUGGGCACUUUAACGAGACUGCCGGUGACAAACCGGAGGAAGGAGGGGAUGACGUCAAGUCCUCAUGGCCCUUAUGGGUAGGGCUUCACACGUCAUACAAUGGUCGGUACAAAGGGUUGCCAAGCCGCGAGGCGGAGCCAAUCCCAGAAAGCCGAUCGUAGUCCGGAUUGCAGGCUGCAACUCGCCUGCAUGAAGUCGGAAUCGCUAGUAAUCGUGGAUCAGCAUGUCACGGUGAAUACGUUCCCGGGUCUUGUACACACCGCCCGUCACACCAUGGGAGUUGGUUGUACCAGAAGCAGGUAGUCUAACCGCAAGGGGGACGCCUACCACGGUAUGGUCAAUGACUGGGGUGAAGUCGUAACAAGGUA